rnacentral:rRNA from 1 species
UACGUAGGGUGCAAGCGUUAUCCGGAAUUAUUGGGCGUAAAGAGCUCGUAGGCGGCUUGUCGCGUCAACUGUGAAAACCCGUGGCUCAACCAUGUGGUCUGCAGUCGAUACGGGCAGGCUAGAAUUCGGUAGGGGAGACUGGAAUUCCUGGUGUAGCGGUGAAAUGCGCAGAUAUCAGGAGGAACACCGGUGGCGAAGGCGGGUCUCUGGGCCGAUAUUGACGCUGAGGAGCGAAAGCGUGGGGAGCGAACAGG